AGUGAACGCUGGCGGUAGGCCUAACACAUGCAAGUCGAACGGCAGCACAGUAAGAGCUUGCUCUUACGGGUGGCGAGUGGCGGACGGGUGAGGAAUAAAUCGGAAUCUACUUUUUCGUGGGGGAUAACGUAGGGAAACUUACGCUAAUACCGCAUACGACCUACGGGUGAAAGCAGGGGAUUUUCGGACCUUGCGCGAUUGAAUGAGCCGAUGUCGGAUUAGCUAGUUGGCGGGGUAAAGGCCCACCAAGGCGACGAUCCGUAGCUGGUCUGAGAGGAUGAUCAGCCACACUGGAACUGAGACACGGUCCAGACUCCUACGGGAGGCAGCAGUGGGGAAUAUUGGACAAUGGGCGCAAGCCUGAUCCAGCCAUACCGCGUGGGUGAAGAAGGCCUUCGGGUUGUAAAGCCCUUUUGUUGGGAAAGAAAAGCAGCAGGUUAAUACCCCGCUGUUCUGACGGUACCCAAAGAAUAAGCACCGGCUAACUUCGUG
rnacentral:rRNA from 1 species